rnacentral:rRNA from 1 species
UGGGGAAUAUUGCACAAUGGGCGCAAGCCUGAUGCAGCCAUGCCGCGUGUAUGAAGAAGGCCUUCGGGUUGUAAAGUACUUUCAGCGGGGAGGAAGGUGUUGAGGUUAAUAACCUCAGCAAUUGACGUUACCCGCAGAAGAAGCACCGGCUAACUCCGUGCCAGCAGCCGCGGUAAUACGGAGGGGACAAGCGUUAAUCGGAAUUACUGGGCGUAAAGCGCACGCAGGCGGUCUGUCAAGUCGGAUGUGAAAUCCCCGGGCUCAACCUGGGAACUGCAUUCGAAACUGGCAGGCUAGAGUCUUGUAGAGGGGGGUAGAAUUCCAGGUGUAGCGGUGAAAUGCGUAGAGAUCUGGAGGAAUACCGGUGGCGAAGGCGGCCCCCUGGACAAAGACUGACGCUCAGGUGCGAAAGCGUGGGGAGCAAACA